rnacentral:lncRNA from 1 species
AGCAACCACCCUGCAUUUACUCUCUCCACCACUCCGCUCUGUCACAGCAAAGGAAGAAUCAUAGCCAUAUCUUCUGAAGAUGGCAACUUUGGGCCACUUUCCAAGACCACCGAGGCAGCAAGGAAACUGCAUUUUUACAUGAAAGUUUAAACAGUAGUACUCAUUUAAUAACACUAAUAAGUGUCAAAAUUCUAACUAUCAAGUUACCUGAGACAAUCAACAUUCUUUCCUAUAUAGCAUUAUCCAGUACAACCAUUCAGACCAAGUAAUUUAGCUCACCCAUGUCAAAAUGUCAAAAGUACACCCCAACGUCAUCAAGCAAACAGUGACUGAAUCCAGGAUUGUAUUAGUACCAGUUAGCUAUGUCCGCAUAGGAUGCUAGGGUGGAGAGGAUUUGAUUUGUAACACAGUACUCCACUUUUAUCCACAGUUUCGCUUUCCAAGGCUUCAGUUACCCUCAGUCAACUACAGUUCAAAAAUAGGUGACUAAGGUACAGUAAGAUACUUUGAGAGGCCACAUUCAUAUAAUUUUCAUUACAAUGUACUGUUAUAAUUGUUCUUAUUAUUGAUAAUUGUCUCAGCCUCCCAAGUAGCUGGGGACUACAGGUGUGUGCCACCACACCCAGUUAAUUUUCUAUUUUUAGUAGAGAUAGGGUUUCACCAUGUUGGCCAGCUGGUCUGGAACUCCUGACCUCACUGAAUCCACCCACCUCAGUCUCCGAAAGUGCUGGAAUUACAGGCAUGAACCACUGAACCCGGCCAAUCUGACGGUUUUAAAAAUGGGAGUCUCCCUGCACAACCUCUCCAUCUCUUUGCCUGCUGUCAUCCAUAGAAGAUGUGACUUGCUCUUCUUUGCCUUCCGCCAUGAUUGUGAGGCCUCCCCAGCCACGUGGAACUGUGAGUCCACUAAACCUCUUUUCUUCCCAGUCUCUGG